rnacentral:rRNA from 1 species
AACGAACGCUGGCGGCGUGGCUAAGGCAUGCAAGUCGAACGGGACUAUUCGGGUAGUAAUACUUGGAUAGUUUAGUGGCGGACGGGUGAGUAAUGCAUGGGUAACGUGCCCGAUACUCGGGGAUAGCGGCGGACUUCGGUCCUUUGCGAAAGUGCCGGUAAUACCCGAUGACGUUUCGAAAUCGCCUGAUUUUGAAACCAAAGAUUUAUCAGUGUCGGAGCGGCCCAUGUCCUAUCAGCUUGUUGGUGGGGUAAUGGCCUACCAAGGCGAUGACGGGUAGCCGGCGUGAGAGCGCGAUCGGCCACAUCGGGACUGAGACACUGCCCGGACACCUACGGGUGGCUGCAGCAACGAAUAUUCCGCAAUGGGCGCAAGCCUGACGGAGCGACGCCGCGUGAAGGAUGAAGUCCCUCGGGAUGUAAACUUGAAUAGAGUGCAAGGAAGGGCAACUUGACCGGCACUCGAAAGGGGUGGCUAACUCCGUGCCAGCAGCCGCGGUAAUACGGAGACCCCUAGCGUUGUUCGGAAUUACUGGGCUUAAAGAGCGUGUAGGCGGAACGGUCAGUGUCUUGUGAAAUCCCUCGGCUCAACCGGGGAACUGCUUGGCAUACUG